rnacentral:rRNA from 1 species
AUUGAACGCUGGCGGAAUGCUUUACACAUGCAAGUCGAACGGUAGAGGGGGCAACCCCUCGAGAGUGGCGAACGGGUGAGUAAUAUAUCGGAACGUGCCCAGUCGGGGGGGAUAACGUAGCGAAAGUUACGCUAAUACCGCAUACGAUCUACGGAUGAAAGCGGGGGAUCGCAAGACCUCGCGCGAUUAGAGAGGCCGAUAUCAGAUUAGUUAGUUGGUGGGGUAAAGGGUCACCAAGCCAACGAUCUGUAGCUGGUCUGAGAGGACGACCAACCACACUGGAACAGAGAGACGGUCCAGACUCCUACGGGAGGCAGCAGUGGGGAAUUUUGGGCAAGGGAGGCAAGUCUGAUCCUGCCAUUCCGCGUGCAGGAUGAAGGCCCUCGGGUUGUAAACUGCUUUUGUACGGAACGAAAAGGUUUCCAUUAAUACUGGGAGCUCAUGACGGUACCGUAAGAAUAAGCACCGGCUAACUACGUGCCAGCCGCCGCGGUAA